GCUGUUGGAGACUAAUAGCUCAAGCAGUAUUAAAGUGCUUAUAGUGCAGGUAGUGUUGCAGUAAUCUACUGCAAUAUAAGCACUUGAGUACUAUUGGCUAACACUGCAGCUGUACAAAU
rnacentral:pre_miRNA from 17 species